UGGUCCAACUUACAGAAACAAAAUGAAGCAACACUCUACGCUGAAGAGUCAAUUAAACAAUUAAGGAGCACAUUUGAACACAGGAUGCUGCAGAUUGAAAAUGCAUUGAAUUACCUCAAGAACAGACAAACCUUUCUUGAAUCGGAAGAAAAUAAUCUGGAGGAAAGGAUUAACACAAGGCUCGAUGAUCUAGCUGCUGCAAUAGUACAACAAGAACACACGAGGCUGCAGAAACACAAUGAGAUGCAG